UGGUCAUUACCAAGGCUUUUAGAAUGCAGUUUCUGAAUUGCUGUGGACAUGACCUUAAAGAAAGUGCCCGUUAGGUUUGUGUUAUGCUACCUUGCUAGCAUUCAGCCAACGGGGAACAUGU